rnacentral:lncRNA from 1 species
GAUGUAUAUCUUUAAAAAUUAAUGAAGAAGGAAGAAAACAAAGAAAGAAGGAUGGGGAGAGGAAAAUGAAGGAGAAUUUAAACUCAAUGCAUUAUACAAUUCUAAUCAACAUGAACACAGUGGCCAACAUUAACACUGAAUAAACUCUGGGAAAGAAACUAGUAUUUUUACACACAAAAAACCCAAUAAAUACAUGACUUACAGAAGUUUUUAUCCAAAAUAAGACACAUUAAAUAGAAUUUUAUUUCCAUUACUUUUUGUCUUUCCAAAAUAAAUUUAUGAAAAUCCAGCAGAUAUUUUAUAGAAGUUUGUAAUGUUAUUGAGGAAUUUGAUAAUCCCUUAAGGUUUUACUUGAAAAUUUGGAUCACAUAAAUCGAAAUCAAGAUGAAAUUACGUCAAUAAGCACUAAUUAUGAGUAUGUCCCAAAACGCAUUUAGUGGGAAAUGUGUUAAAUUUCAAAU